rnacentral:tRNA from 1 species
UCCCGGUUAGCUCACUGGUAGAGCGGUCGCUGAGAGAUGCGAUAGGAACUCGGUUCGAUUCCGAGACGCGGGAG